GAUCCUACGGGAGGCAGCAGUGGGGAAUAUCGCACAAUGGGCGAAAGCCUGAUGCAGCAACGCCGCGUGAAGGAAGAAGGCCUUCGGGUCGUAAACUUCUGUCCUUGGGGAAGAAGAACUGACGGUACCCAAGGAGGAAGCCCCGGCUAACUACGUGCCAGCAGCCGCGGUAAUACGGAGGGUGCGAGCGUUAAUCGGAAUUACUGGGCGUAAAGCGCUCGUAGGCGGUAUGUCAAGUCAAGGGUGGAAUCCCCGCGCUCAACGUGGGAACUGCCUUUGAAACUGGCAAACUGGAGUGUGUGAGG
rnacentral:rRNA from 1 species